rnacentral:tRNA from 4 species
GCCCCUGUAGCUCAGUUGGUAGAGCGCCUUACUUGUAAUAAGGAUGUCGCGGGUUCGAAUCCUGUCGGGGGCUCCA